rnacentral:rRNA from 1 species
GACGAACGCUGGCGGCGUGCUUAACACAUGCAAGUCGAGCGGAAAGGCCACUUCGGUGGUACUCGAGCGGCGAACGGGUGAGUAACACGUGAGUAAUCUGCCCUUGGCUUUGGGAUAGCCACUGGAAACGGGGAUUAAUACCAGAUAUGACCACUUCGCGCAUGUGAUGGUGGUGGAAAGUUUUUCGGACAGGGAUGUGCUCGCGGCCUAUCAGCUUGAUGGUGAGGUAAUGGCUCACCAUGGCUUCGACGGGUAGCCGGCCUGAGAGGUUGGCCGGUCACAGUGGGACGGAGACACGGCGCAGACUCCGACGGGAGGCAGCAGUGGGGAAUAUUGGACAAUGGGCGGAAGCCUGAUCCAACAACGCCGCGUGAGGGAUGACGGCCUUCGGGUUGUAAACCUCUUUCGCCUGUGACGAAGCGCAAGUGACGGUAACAGGUAAAGAAGCACCGGCCAACUACGUGCCAGCCGCCGCCGUAAAAC